GACGAACGCUGGCGGCGUGCUUAACACAUGCCAGUCGAACGGAAAGGCCCUGCUUUUGUGGGGUGCUCGAGUGGCGAACGGGUGAGUAACACGUGAGUAACCUGCCCUUGACUUUGGGAUAACCUCAGGAAACUGGGGCUAAUACCGGAUAGGAGCUCCUGCUGCAUGGUGGGGGUUGGAAAGUUUCGGCGGUUGGGGAUGGACUCGCGGCUUAUCAGCUUGUUGGUGGGGUAGUGGCUUACCAAGGCUUUGACGGGUAGCCGGCCUGAGAGGGUGACCGGCCACAUUGGGACUGAGAUACGGCCCAGACUCCUACGGGAGGCAGCAGUGGGGAAUAUUGCACAAUGGGCGGAGGCCUGAUGCAGCAACGCCGCGUGCGGGAUGACGGCCUUCGGGUUGUAAACCGCUUUCGCCUGUGACGAAGCGUGAGUGACGGUAAUGGGUAAAGAAGCACCGGCUAACUACGUG
rnacentral:rRNA from 1 species